GACGAACGCUGGCGGCGUGCCUAAUACAUGCAAGUCGAACGAAGUGGCGCACGGGUGCGUAACGCGUGGGAAUCUGCCUUUGCUUCGGAAUAACUUCGGGAAACUGAAGCUAAUACCGGAUGGCAAAGGAUGAGCCCGCGUAGGAUUAGGUAGUUGGUGGGGUAAAGGCCUACCAAGCCGACGAUCCUUAGCUGGUCUGAGAGGAUGAUCAGCCACACUGGGACUGAGACACGGCCCAGACUCCUACGGGAGGCAGCAGUGGGGAAUAUUGGACAAUGGGCGCAAGCCUGAUCCAGCAAUGCCGCGUGAGUGAUGAAGGCCUUCGGGUCGUAAAGCUCUUUUACCAGGGAUGCAGUACCUGGAGAAUAAGCUCCGGCUAACUCCGUGCCAGCCGCCGCGGUAAUAC
rnacentral:rRNA from 1 species